AGUGAACGCCGGCGGUAGGCCUAACACAUGCAAGUCGAACGGCAGCACAGUAAGAGCUUGCUCUUACGGGUGGCGAGUGGCGGACGGGUGAGGAAUACAUCGGAAUCUACUUUUUCGUGGGGGAUAAAGUAGGGAAACUUACGCUAAUACCGCAUACGACCUACGGGUGAAAGCAGGGGAUCUUCGGACCUUGCGCGAUUGAAUGAGCCGAUGUCGGAUUAGCUAGUUGGCGGGGUAAAGGCCCACCAAGGCGACGAUCCGUAGCUGGUCUGAGAGGAUGAUCAGCCACACUGGAACUGAGACACGGUCCAGACUCCUACGGGAGGCAGCAGUGGGGAAUAUUGGACAAUGGGCGCAAGCCUGAUCCAGCCAUACCGCGUGGGUGAAGAAGGCCUUCGGGUUGUAAAGCCCUUUUGUUGGGAAAGAAAAGCAGCAGGUUAAUACCCCGCUGUUCUGACGGUACCCAAAGAAUAAGCACCGGCUAACUUCGUG
rnacentral:rRNA from 1 species